rnacentral:rRNA from 1 species
GUAGGGUGCGAGCGUUGUUCGGAAUAACUGGGCGUAAAGGGCUCGUAGGUGGUUUKUAGCGUCGUCUGUGAAAUCCCGGGGCUUAACUCCGGGCGUGCAGGCGAUACGGGCAUAACUUGAGUACUGUAGGGGUAACUGGAAUUCCUGGUGUAGCGGUGAAAUGCGSAGAUAUCAGGAGGAACACCGAUGGCGAAGGCAGGUUACUGGGCAGUUACUGACGCUGAGGAGCGAAAGCAUGGGUAGCGAACAGGAUUAGAUACCCUGGUAGUCCAUGCCGUAAACGGUGGGCGCUAGGUGUGAGGGUCUUUUCACGACUUUCGUGCCGUAGCUAACGCAUUAAGCGCCCCGCCUGGGGAGUACGGCCGCAAGGCUAAAACUCAAAGGAAUUGACGGGGGCCCGCACAAGCGGCGGAGCAUGGUGGAUUAAUUCGAUGCAACGCGAAGAACCUUACCUGGGCUUGACAUACACCGGAUCGGGCUAGAGAUAGUCUUUCCCUUUGUGGCUGGUGUACAGGUGGUGCAUGGUUGYCGUCAGCUCGUGUCGUGAGAUGUUGGGUUAAGUCCCGCAACGAGCGCAACCCUUGUCUUAUGUUGCCAGCAUUUGGUUGGGGACUCAUGAGAGACUGCCGGGGUCAACUCGGAGGARGGUGGGGAUGASGUCAAAUCAUCAUGCCCCUUAUGUCCAGGGCUUCACACAUGCUACAAUGGUCGGUACAACCGCAGCGACGCUGUGAGGUGGAGCGAAUCGCUGAAAGCCGGCCUUAGUUCGGAUUGGGGUCUGCAACUCGACCCCAUGAAGUCGGAGUCGCUAGUAAUCGCAGAUCAUCAACGCUGCGGUGAAUACGUUCCCGG